rnacentral:rRNA from 1 species
GAUCAUUGGAUGAGAUAGCUGCUGGCUUUCGGGCAUGUGCGCAUCUUGUUCAUUUACCUCUCACCUCUGUGCACUUUUCAUGGAACAAUCAGUGGUUGUUGGCUUCAUGGCCAAUGAUCGCAGGUUGCUUCUGUGGUCUCACAAACUUCAGAAUCAGUUUAGAAUGUAUACUGUGUACCUACACAUUUAAAUACAACUUUCAGCAACGGAUCUCUUGGCUCUCGCAUCGAUGAAGAACGCAGCGAAAUGCGAUAAGUAAUGUGAAUUGCAGAAUUCAGUGAAUCAUCGAAUCUUUGAACGCAUCUUGCGCUCCUUGGCAUUCCGAGGAGCAUGCCUGUUUGAGUGUCAUGGUAUUCUCAAUUCUCUUGGUUUUUGCUGAGAUGAUAUUGGACUUGGAGGCUAUUGCUGGCAUCGUUUCAGAAGCCAGCUCCUCUUAAAUGAAUCAGUGUGAACAUUCACUUCAUACUUGGUGUGAUAAUUAUCUGCACUAUGUCUGAGUGAUAGAGUUUCAUGCUUCGAAUCGUCGCGAGACAUUACUUUGACUUCUGACCUCAAAUCAGGUAGGAUUACCCGCUGAACUUAAGCAUAUCA